rnacentral:lncRNA from 1 species
CAGGAAAUCAAACGUCAAUCCGUUCAGCUUCCUAGACGUCGACUCCCCUCGAAACCGACGUCUAAUGGGUAUUCAAAAAGUCAGUUUAAAUGUUAACUUGGACGUCAUAUUAGUGGGAUAACCGACGUCUAUGUGACUAUAGACGUCGGUUUCUGGAGCAACCAACGCCCAAUUUCAUUUUAAAUAAACCGCAAACUCUUCGCGACAUUCAGUUUCUGAUAUCGUCUUCCUCUUCUCCUUUUUCUCUUGAGACACCUCUUCUUUUUCUCGGUUGCGGCACCUCUUCUUUUUUCUCUCUUGCGGCAUUCCAUUGUUGUUUCUGAUAUCUUUAUCGUCUUCCUCCUCUCCUUUUUCUCUCUUGUGGCAUUGCAUCCCAGGUGCGUGGUUUUUUUUAUGCUUACCGUUUAAACUUUGUUUAGUUUAGUCUUUCAUCGAUUAUCUUCUGGUUCAACUGAUUAAAAUUUGCUUUCUUUGUGUUGUGUUUUAGUGCAGUUUUGUUCCUUUCUUGGGGUAACGUAGUAACACAUUCUCUAUUUGCUAGCUGCCUCCCAGAAAAAGCGGCGUCUUGUG